rnacentral:rRNA from 1 species
CGUAUGUCUGAUCGCACGCGCGCUACACUGACAGAGCCAGCGAGUUUUUUUCCUUGGCCGGAAGGUCUGGGUAAUCUUGUGAAACUCUGUCGUGCUGGGGAUAGAGCAUUGCAAUUAUUGCUCUUCAACGAGGAAUACCUAGUAAGCGUGAGUCAUCAGCUCGCGUUGAUUACGUCCCUGCCCUUUGUACACACCGCCCGUCGCUACUACCGAUUGAAUGGCUUAGUGAGGUCUCCGGAUUGGCUUUGGGGAGCCGGCAACGGCACCCUAUUGCUGAGAAGCUGAUCAAACUUGGUCAUUUAGAGGAAGUAAAAGUCGUAACAAGGUUUCCGUAGGGAGCCUGCGGAAGU